rnacentral:rRNA from 1 species
UACGAAGGGGGCUAGCGUUGCUCGGAAUCACUGGGCGUAAAGGGUGCGUAGGCGGGUCUUUUAAGUCAGGGGUGAAAUCCUGGAGCUCAACUCCAGAACUGCCUUUGAUACUGAAGAUCUUGAGUUCGGGAGAGGUGAGUGGAACUGCGAGUGUAGAGGUGAAAUUCGUAGAUAUUCGCAAGAACACCGGUGGCGAAGGCGGCCAACUGGUCCGGAUCUGACGCUGAGGCGCGAAAGCGUGGGGAGCAAACAGG